rnacentral:rRNA from 1 species
GAUGAACGCUGGCGGCGUGUUUAAUACAUGCAAGUCGAGUUAACAUACGAGUAUUUUGCUCCUCUUACGUUAGCGGCGGAUGGGUGAGUAACACGUGGAUUACCUCCCUAUAAGACUGAGAUAACUUCGGGAAAUCGUAGCUCAUACCGAUUUAUAUAUUGAACCUCAUGUUUUAAUAGUGAAAGACGGCUUUGCUGUCACUCAUAGCUUGAUCUUCGCUGCAUUAGCUAGUUGGUAAGGUAACGGCUUACCAAGGCAACGAUGCGUAGCAGACAUGAGAGGGUGAUCGGCCACACUGGAACUGAGACACGGUACAAACUCAUACGGGAGGCAGCAGUAGGGAGUCUUCCGCAAUGAGCGAAAGACUGACGGAGCAACGCCGAGUGAGUGAUGAAGGACUUCUGAUCGUAAAACUCUGUUAUUAGGGAAGAACAAAGGUGUAAGUAGCUAUGAACGACAUGACGGUACCAAAUCAAAAAGCCACGGCUAAAUACGUG